rnacentral:rRNA from 1 species
UGGGGAAUUUUGGACAAUGGGGGAAACCCUGAUCCAGCCAUCCCGCGUGUGCGAUGAAGGCCUUCGGGUUGUAAAGCACUUUUGGCAGGAAAGAAACGUCGCGGGUUAAUACCCCGCGAAACUGACGGUACCUGCAGAAUAAGCACCGGCUAACUACGUGCCAGCAGCCGCGGUAAUACGUAGGGUGCAAGCGUUAAUCGGAAUUACUGGGCGUAAAGCGUGCGCAGGCGGUUCGGAAAGAAAGAUGUGAAAUCCCAGAGCUUAACUUUGGAACUGCAUUUUUAACUACCGGGCUAGAGUGUGUCAGAGGGAGGUGGAAUUCCGCGUGUAGCAGUGAAAUGCGUAGAUAUGCGGAGGAACACCGAUGGCGAAGGCAGCCUCCUGGGAUAACACUGACGCUCAUGCACGAAAGCGUGGGGAGCAAACAGGAUUAGAUACCCUGGUAGUCCACGCCCUAAACGAUGUCAACUAGCUGUUGGGGCCUUCGGGCCUUGGUAGCGCAGCUAACGCGUGAAGUUGACCGCCUGGGGAGUACGGUCGCAAGAUUAAAACUUAAAUGAAUUGACGGGGUCAUAGCUGUUUU